rnacentral:misc_RNA from 1 species
AACACUGUUAACCUGCGGUACCUGCGGAAGGAUCAUUAUCGAGUUGCAAAACUCCAACCCUUUGUGAACAUACCUCAGUCGUUGCUUCGGCGGUGGACGGCCUGUUUUUCGGAACGGCCGGAAGCCGCCGGAGGUUCCAAACUCGUAUUUUUUAGUGUAUCUCUGAGCCUGAAAACAAAUAAUCAAAACUUUCAGCAACGGAUCU